rnacentral:rRNA from 1 species
UACAGAGGUCUCAAGCGUUGUUCGGAUUCAUUGGGCGUAAAGGGUGUGUAGGUGGCGCCGUAAGUCGGGUGUGAAAUUUCGGAGCUUAACUCCGAAACUGCAUUCGAUACUGCGGUGCUUGAGGACUGGAGAGGAGACUGGAAUUCAUGGUGUAGCAGUGAAAUGCGUAGAGAUCAUGAGGAACACCAGUGGCGAAGGCGAGUCUCUGGACAUUUCCUGACGCUGAGGCACGAAAGCCAGGGGAGCAAACGGG